UUUCACUUCUACCACCUUUUGCUCAACGUUGUAAAAUCCCAAAGGCUCCCUUCAAGUGUGACGUCAGCUCACAUAAAUACUCCACGAACCCCACCCCACUGAGUCCCUUGACACUUACUUCACUUUUCCUCUUCCCACAUUCUACGUCUAUUAUGGGCAGCCCAUUACUCACUCAGUAAAUGUUUGUGAUGUACCCAUCGGGAGUGUGGCGCUGGACUGGAGAUCCAAGGGCAUGAAAGGCAUAACGUGCUUGGACUUCGGUUUUUCAGGGACGGUUCUUAGUUGGGAGGAAAGUAAACGUGAGCAACGAAUUUUUGCAAGUACCCGCUCGAUCACCCUGUAGUCUGGGCUGCGAAGUACAGGCGAUUAUUUAUCUAGAGAGCUGUGGAAUCCCUCACCUGCAACCCAGACGGAGGAACGGAAGUGACUGAGGUGUGGCUUCUCUGAUAAUGAAAAGGCAGUGGAAAGAACACAAAGUUGGGCUCCAGGGUGCUGAGGUCCGACCACGCAGUAGGUGGGCUACGAUGCCAUCAUGGAUAUCCGGACUGGUGUAGACAGUGGGAGGAAGAACCGAAGAUUCUGGUCCUCUUCUCUACUCUUUCUUUUGCCUGCAUGUUUGGGCCAGGUACUGAAAUUUGGGCCCCAAUUUCCUUGCACACAAAGGCAGAACCAAAAAGACGCGACUUCACGGAAGCCCCAGAAAUGACUAUUAUCCACAGACUGCAGAGAUUCUCCAGUACCUGUGUUAAGACAAAGAGUAUAACAUGGCCGUGGAGUCUAGGUCUGCCAUCUAUGGAUCCUGACCGGUGUUACUGAAACACAGACUAGUGAAUCUGUUCAUGUUAAGAGGUAAUUCUUACACAGAUCAAGUGGUCACCCACUCACAAAGACGACAAAAA
rnacentral:sRNA from 1 species